UCUGGAGCAGCCGAGGCGGCAGGUCUGGUGCCUCCAUCUGUGACCUCCAGCACCAGGAGCGAGCGGCUGCGCCUGCACGGGGCCCGGGGAACGUCACUUCUCAUGUCGCCAUCACCACCGAGUACCCCAGCGGGGUCCGGGUGCUCUUCCGCCAUUUUCUCCGCCUACCCAGCGGGGCCAUCGUGGAGGUAUUUGGUGAUGUCAGAGGCUUGAGUUUUAUCCACAGUGACGUGCUCACUGCUCUCCAGGACCACAUUGAGGAGAUGAACAGGACACCAGAAGAGUCCUCCGGGGUUAAAUCAAGAGGAAGGAAAAUGUCCAUCGAGAUUUAAAGACACUGAGAUAUUUCUAGAUCAUGGAAUAGAAGCUUAUUUGAUGUCACAGCACCUCCUGCCUUAUUGCCGGCAACACUGAACUGGUCUGAAAGGGGAAGUUCAUGUCUUGUGCCUCUGCACAUCCAUCUCCACAGCUGCUUCCUUAGUCCACUGAACUUAGUAAAGCUUGUGUCCGGUUUACUCCUUUGCACAAUAUUGCAUCACUGUCACCCACCUCCUGGCUUCGAGCAGGCUGAUUAAGAGAAUCUCUAGAAUCUACUGCCUAUUGUGAGAUCAGAGGGGAGAGGAGCUUGGGCCAUGGGAUGGACUUUUAAAGUUUCCAGGAAGACACAAGAUGUCACUCACAGGGUCAGGAGGUGGAUGUGCACCCCAGGAGGUGGUGGGCACCCCGGGAGGAUGGCUUAGACACAAGGAACUGUGCCCCCUUGACCAACAUUUCCUGACUCCACAUCAGCCAUUCAGAAACCC